rnacentral:rRNA from 1 species
GAUGAACGCUAGCGGGAGGCCUAACACAUGCAAGCCGAGCGGUAGAGAUUCUUCGGAAUCUUGAGAGCGGCGUACGGGUGCGGAACACGUGUGCAACCUGCCUUUAUCAGGGGGAUAGCCUUUCGAAAGGAAGAUUAAUACCCCAUAAUAUAUUUGAUGGCAUCAUUAGAUAUUGAAAGCUUUGGCGGAUAGAGAUGGGCACGCGCAAGAUUAGAUAGUUGGUGAGGUAACGGCUCACCAAGUCGAUGAUCUUUAGGGGGCCUGAGAGGGUGAUCCCCCACACUGGUACUGAGACACGGACCAGACUCCUACGGGAGGCAGCAGUGAGGAAUAUUGGACAAGGGGUUAGCGCCUGAUCCAGCCAUCCCGCGUGAAGGACGACGGCCCUAUGGGUUGUAAACUUCUUUUGUACAGGGAGAAACCUACUCUCGUGAGAGUAGCUGAAGGUACUGUACGAAUAAGCACCGGCUAACUCCGUG